rnacentral:tRNA from 1 species
UGCCGGAUAGCCAAGUGGUAAGGCAAUGGACUUUGACUCCAUGAUACAGAGGUUCGAAUCCUUUUCCGGCAG